rnacentral:hammerhead_ribozyme from 1 species
AUCCAUCUGACGAGUCUCAAAUAGAACGAAACGCACUUCCUGGAU